CAGGAAAAGGAACAGCAGAUGGAACUAA
rnacentral:piRNA from 1 species